AGGUCUCACCGAGGAAGGAAGGCCAGGGGGUUUCCGAAUCUUCUUUGGCUGGGAGUCUACAUGUAUGUAGAUGGAGGAAACAAAGAAAAGCUGGCCUGGGAACGCCUCGGGAUUCCCCCAGAAGAGCUGGAUGAAGUAGCUGGGGAGAAGAAAGUCUGGGCUUCCAUCUAAAGCUACUGCCCCCGCGACCCGACCUCGGAGGAGCGGAAGAAAAUGGAUGGAUGUUAAAGUCGACUUACAUGGUUGUCAUUUGAACAGCAGCUACAUGUAGGCUGACUAGUAGUCGUAACAUUGUUGCAGCUGAUAAACAAAUUAAUCCAAAGAUCCUGCAAAGAGAAGCUCUGCCAGGCCGACAAGGGGUUGGAGACGUUGCCAGCAGCUGCAGAGGUGACAGAGAGGACGCCUGCAUGUUUGGCCCACCAGCACCACCAUACACGUCACACGACCGCCACUUCUCAAACAUCCCAGAUCAUCUUUGCCAGGCCUCUCCUCUCCACGGAACUUGAAAAACCCUUCGCCACACACACGCAUGCACACUGGCUCUUGAGGAAAGGAGAAAGACGCCUAACGCAAUUAGCACCCCUCGGAGCACUUUUGUGUUAAUGAAUAGAAGUGGUCUGUUGGGCCACUGGGCUGCUUGCUGCCGUUCCCGCGCUGCUGGGUCACUGGAUAUACAAGCCGCUUAAGUGACGUCAUACACGAACAUUGUUCUGUAAUGGCCACUAUUUCAACAACCUCAUGGGCUCCUGCUUAGGAUCAACUACGGGAGGCUGCAAUAUUG